GGUGUGAUUCCCACUGUGGCCCUGUGUGUGGAGUUUGCAUGUCCAAAGACAUGCAUGGUAGGCUGAUUGUCGUGUCUAAAGUGUCCGUAGUGUAUGAAUGGGUGUGUGAGUGUGUAUGUGAGUGUGUUCCCUGCGAUGGAUUGGCACCCUGUCCAGGAUGUACCCCGUCUUGUGCCCUAUGCUCCCUGGGAUAGGCCCCAAGACCCUGAAGAAGUAGUAAGCGGUAGAAGAUGGAUGGAUGGAUGGAUGGAUGUAGUAGAUACUACUCAACCACACAUACACUCACUGAACACUAUUUACGUACACCUACUAAUUCAUGCAAUUACGUGGCAUCAGUGCAAUGCCCAUCAUCAUACAGAUACGGGCCAGCAGCUUCAGGUAACGUUCACGUCAACCAUCAGAAUGGAGGAAAAAAUAUGAUCUCAGGUUAUUCUGACCAUGGUGUGAUUGCUGGUGCCAGACAGGCUGGUCUGAGUAUUUCUACAACUGCUGAUCUCCUGGGAUUUUCACACACAACAGUCUCUAGAGUUUACGUAAAAUGGUGCAAUAAAGAAGCAGUAGUUCUGUGGAUGAAAACGCAAAGGAGAAUAGCCAGACUGGUUCGAACAGACAGAAAUGAUACAGCAACUCGGAUAAACACUGUAUAAUUGUAGUGAGCAGAAAACCAUCUCAGAAUGCACAACAGGUCAAACCUUGAGGCAGAUGGGCUACAACAGCAGACCAAAUAGCCUGGUCUGAUGAAUGAAAAAUCUGCAGGAUCGCGUGAUGCAGGCACAUCGACACGGACCAGAAUCUCACAGGAACGUCUCCAACAUCUGGUGGAAUCCGUUACAUGAAGAAUUGAGUGCAAAUUCUUCAUGUAACGGCCCUACCCAGUAUUACUAUAGUGUUCCUAAUAAAAUGCUCAGUGAAUGUAUAAUACACGUGACAGGAUAUGCUUCAGCUCAUUUAUUUCUAAUAAUAACCAACACAUUAUUCAAAUUUGUUUUAAAUAAAUAAAUAAAUAGAUAAAUAAAUAAAUAGCAACACACCUGAAUUAAAAUAAACUGAAAACUGUCAGAUAAAUAAUUACGUUUUCCUAAAUACUGGACAAGAAAUUCGUGAACAUGUCUAAUGUGUUUUAUACUGUAGGUCUUUAUAGAGAGAGAGAGAGAGAGAGAGAGAGAGAGAGAGGGCGGGGGCGGGAUCUUGGGCCUGAUUUCAUUGCUAAAAUAUAAAAGUAACGGUAUCGGCGGCACCGCACCAUAAUUCAAUGUCUAAUAUUUUAAAAACCGAAGCUUUUAGAGGCAGAAACGGAGCAGAAACGAUUGAGACUAUUUUGCCGACGUUUUGCGCUGGGUGCGGGGUCCACUUCACCCAGAUCAGAACCGUCCCAGGCCCACUUCACGCAGACCAGAGCCGACCCAUGCUGGUAGUCAUGAGCUGUUUUAAAAAGGAAAGCAGUGCUGUUAAUACCAAAAAACACAAUAGCCUAACUAGGGCAGAUACUUACGGAAAUAAAGGGAGUUGACGUUUAAACUAAAUGAACGAUGGAUAUGAACCGUAAUGCUAAAUCGCACCGCGUUCAUUACCGCUAAUGCUAACGAGGAGUUUUCAGCAGUUCUGCACCAUUCUGUAGUGGGGGGUGUAUGACGUGGUUAAAACGUCACCCUUAUUAACUACGUGUCCAAUGGGCUCGCUCCCUGCCACAUAUAUAAAUGGUCGUUAAGGCCUUUCCGAAGCGUCAUGGUUGAAAGCUCGCCCUGCCCCGUUUUGGUAUUAUUAUUAGUGUUUUUUAAUUUAAUUUUAGUAUUAGUAUUAUUAUUAUUAUAAUAAUUAUUUAUUUAUUUAUUUAUUAUAAAUUAUUAUUUAUUUUUUUCUCUUUUUUCCUGCCAAGCUACUGCCCACACUCCAGUCCAGUAAGUGGCGGUAAUGCACCUUUAGUGGUUUGCUAACCGCCAUUAAAAACAAAAAGAAGAAGUACCAAGUCAAUCGGGAUUAAACUUCGGUUUGUUUACUUGCGCCGGCUGUAGAUAUUUUCUCCAGUUUUGUGUCGAUUUUAACUCAUUAUUAUUAUUAUUAUUUUUUUUUUUAAUAUAAGCUUCUGACCGGCAUAAGAAUAAAUUCAGUUAAAUUUCGGUUUUGGAAAUGAGCUAGGUUGCUAAUUAGUCGCAAAGUUGUAGUUCUAGUUAAAGUGAAUUGUGGCCUAUGCUAACGACCGCUGGCUACACGUGCAAGUCAAGUCAAGUAGCUCAUUAUUAAAAACUAAAACCGGAUGAAAACAGAGCAUGAUGAAGAUGGGCUUCUCAAACACAAUCCAAGUCACCGUCUGGCGGCAGGGCGGAGUUGUCUGGCCUCCGUGAUACUGAUAGAAUGUAUCAUCCUCAGGAAGGAGGUGCGACAAUGCCGGAGGACUCACACUUACUGAAUCCCCUGGAAAACAAAACGAGAAGACCAGUGAAUGUUGUUCCUUCUCUCAGUCCCAUGAUAAAUAGUAAAAGAUCACGACGUUACAUCAAUGAAGACUCCCAUCAUAAGCAGGCCUGACUGCACUACAGAAGCAGCUUCCACGUCAGCGAAUCCAGGAG